UUCACAUACUUUAUGGUGGCUCUUUGGGUUACCCAUGUGAAUUCAAUAUUCUCCCGAUUGCCCAUAAUUGCAUUCGGGUGGCAGUGUGUGAAGAAUGGUCCCUAAAGCAGCAACAGGAGCAUCACUUGGGUAGUUGUUAGAAAUGUAAAAUCUGGGGCCUAUCAAAGAAAAAAGGAAAAGUGAGGAGACUGAUUUUAUUCAGACCACUGCAGUAGGGCAACACUGAAAACCGAUCUGACUGUCUCAGCUGGUUGGUUUGACCUUAGACUUCUGUAGUGAGAACAAAACAAGUUGCAGGAGAAAUGAUUUACAUUGUGAUUGUUUUGCAAUCAAGGGAUGUCUCAGUCAGCUGACAGGGAGUUUAUAUCUGCAAAUAGCUGGUUUCAGCAGAACAAACACUUCUACUCUUAGCUAAUUCUUCCAGAGACUAAAAAUAAAACCUUGGAGGAUCUGUGUUUGGCCUUGUCACAAGUAAACAGGAGUCAUCUGCAAAUCUCUGUGAGUUCAAAGAAAGUGUGGACGGUGAGUCUAAGUCACAUGGAAAAGAGUGGCUCUUGGCGAGAAGGCACUUCUCAAAACACAAAAUGACUCCACCCUGGACACCCCCUUAUCUGAAAGUCCGACAUUGUGAUGCACACUCUGCGGGUUAGCAGGCCAUCCAGGUGUUUCUCCAGCACAAUCAAGCUUGAGAACCAAAAUGUUAGGCUUUAUCUCCAAAACCUGCUUUUCUGUCUAUCUGGCUUGUUUCAACAUUCUGCAGAUGAUUUUUUUUUUUUAACCUGUUCCUUUACCUUUUGAACAAAGAAUGUGUCCCAUAUCAGUCAAUAAAGGAUGACUGAUUUAGUCACAUAUCAGUCAUAUCA